UCCCCACGAUGACACUGAGUCCUUUACUGUGUUCUUGAGGUCAGAUGUGGAAGCAAAAGCUCUGGAAGUUUGGGGAAGCCUUGAAGCUCUUGCCAGAGAGAAAAAAUUGCGUAAAGAAGCAGAGAUAGAAUACAGAGAACGGCUGUUUAGAAACCAAAGAAUACUAAGAGAAUAUGGUGAUUUCUUGGGAAACACAAAGCCACGCUCCAGAGCGAUCUCAGUGUUCCUUAAGGGACCAGGAAAGGUGGUGAUGGUCGCUAUUUGCAUUAAUGGCUUAAACUGCUUCUUUAAAUUUCUUGCCUGGAUUUAUACGGGUUCAGCAAGUAUGUUCUCAGAAGCUAUACAUUCAUUAUCUGAUACUUGUAACCAGGGUUUGCUAGCACUGGGCAUCAGCAAGUCUGUUCAAACACCAGAUCCUUCUCACCCGCAUAUUGUAUUUUAGCAGGAUCUUUGGUGUCUGAA
rnacentral:lncRNA from 1 species